UGUUACUGGUGGAACUACAGGUCCUAGCAAGUCUCCCCGCAUGCUGGUAUUCGGAGAACCACAAGGUUAAUUCAGUGCAUUGGCUGUUAAUAAAAGCCCGUUCGACAGAUGUUUCCAUUUCAGGUGUUAUUCCAACUGUCAACAGAUUCUGUUCCUUUCUCCGGAUAUACUUGUUAUCAGCUUUCUUUGGUUUUCACCAUGUCUCGGAUAUGCAACGGCAACAAUUCUAGCACUUCUAAUCGCACAUGACCUUACAGAAUUUAUUUAAUUCAGCUUGAUACCACUGACUAUCAAAUACAGCAUGAAAUAACUUUACCAAUGGAAAAUAUCAUACCGCCAUAUAUACAUGAACGACAUUAAACAAAGAAUAAACUUUAUUAAACUGGAUCUUCCACUUCAGCCGAUGUUUGUACCUAAACAAAGGGUCUGACACACAAUGUGCUGCAAAAGUAGGAGCCCACCCGAAGACCGCAGCUAACAUCAUGACACAGCCGAACCUUGUGAUCACACAUUCACAAUAAUGUAUUUACCACCCUACACUGCCUUCUAUGUCUGACUCCUCCUUUUCUUUUUUAGAUAGAGUUCCAUAAAAAUGCUAUCAGCUAAAGAUAUGCUAAAGAAAGAUACAAUAAAACCACAGUAAAAGAAGGAUAUGGCUAAUAUGAUAUAUGGAGUUUUAUUACAAUGUUUAUUUUUUUAAUCGGAAAUGUUAAUAUUAUCAUGUCUGCUUUGAUGUAUUAGAUUUUGAAGUAACAAGGCAAAAUAAAAUGUCUUUACCAUGGCAACCGCCGUGGUUGUUCAUGUCUCUCCACUUAAUUGCUCUGAGGUCACCUUCCCA